rnacentral:rRNA from 1 species
AUUGAACGCUGGCGGCGUGCUUAACACAUGCAAGUCGAUCGGUAACAGGUGUAGCAAUACAUGCUGACGAGAGGCGGACGGGUGAGCAAUGCUUGGGAAUCUGCCUAUUAGUGGGGGACAACCCGGGGAAACUCGGGCUAAUACCGCAUACGCUCUACGGAGGAAAGCCGGGGACCGCAAGGCCUGGCGCUAAUAGAUGAGCCCAAGUCGGAUUAGCUAGUUGGUAGGGAACGGCCUACCAAGGCGACAAUCCGUAGCUGGUCUGAGAGGACGACCAGCCAC